AGACGGAGGGGGCUAGCGUUGUUCGGAAUUACUGGGCGUAAAGAGCACGUAGGCGGCCGCGCAAGUUGGGGGUGAAAUCCCGAGGCUUAACCUCGGAACUGCCUUCAAAACUGCGUGGCUAGAGACCGGGAGAGGUAAGCGGAAUUCCUAGUGUAGAGGUGAAAUUCGUAGAUAUUAGGAAGAACACCAGUGGCGAAGGCGGCUUACUGGACCGGUACUGACGCUAAGGUGCGAAAGCGUGGGGAGCGAACAGGAUUAGAAACCCCAGUAGUCC
rnacentral:rRNA from 1 species